ACUCCUACGGGAGGCAGCAGUAGGGAAUCUUCCGCAAUGGGCGAAAGCCUGACGGAGCAACGCCGCGUGAGUGAAGAAGGAUUUCGGUUCGUAAAGCUCUGUUGUUAGGGAAGAAUGGAUAUGUAGUAACUAUACAUAUAAGAGACGGUACCUAACCAGAAAGCCACGGCUAACUACGUGCCAGCAGCCGCGGUAAUACGUAGGUGGCAAGCGUUGUCCGGAAUUAUUGGGCGUAAAGCGCGCGCAGGUGGUUUAAUAAGUCUGAUGUGAAAGCCCACGGCUCAACCGUGGAGGGUCAUUGGAAACUGUUAAACUUGAGUGCAGGAGAGAAAAGUGGAAUUCCUAGUGUAGCGGUGAAAUGCGUAGAGAUUAGGAGGAACACCAGUGGCGAAGGCGGCUUUUUGGCCUGUAACUGACACUGAGGCGCGAAAGCGUGGGGAGCAAACAGGAUUAGAAACCCGAGUAGUCCAGAAGUG
rnacentral:rRNA from 1 species